AGCCGCGAACGGGUGAGUAACACGUGGGUUACCUGCCUCGAUGACCGGGACAACCCGAGGAAACUCGGGCUAAUACCGGAUGUGCCCGCAAGGGAAAGGAAGCUUCGGCCUCCGCAUCGAGAUGGGCCCGCGGCCCAUUAGCUUGUUGGUGAGGUAACGGCUCACCAAGGCUUCGAUGGGUAGCUGGUCUGAGAGGACGAUCAGCCACACUGGGACUGAGACACGGCCCAG
rnacentral:rRNA from 1 species